GUGUGAGGUGGUGCUAUGUAGCAGGAACCCCUCUUGCUUUGCAAAUAGUUUUUUGUUUGUUUUCCUUUUUGCCCAAUAGAGCCCUGCUCUACUGACCCUUCAAUGUGCCCGUGUGCCUAAAUAUUCCUGGUCGUGUGAAAAGAACCCAGGUAUUAGCUGAACUAAGGAGCACAAUUCUGCAACAUUUUGGCACCCAAACACGGGGCUUGAGAAAUGAAUGCAAUUGGAGAAACUGGUUGUUUUACCAGGCGUUGAUUGGAAAUGUGUGCUUCCCUUUAAGCAGUCAAGCUCAACUUGCAGAACUGAUGGGAACCCCUUGGGAAAACUGGCCUCAAAUGUUUGUCUACACAGUCCACAUACAGGGUUCUUAACCUGCGACUGACCCUGCUUGUGCCUGUGAACCAACCAACAAUCUCUGGCUGCAGCUCAGAAAGGACAAAAGAGAAUGGGUAGGUAAUGGUGUCCCAUACCACAGAACACUUCCCUCAGAUGCAUCCUUCUAACUGGGAGGAGUUAAUUUCUCAAACCGUAGACUAAUUGGCUUAGGAUUAGGUUCAGGGGAAGGGAACACAGAAACAUGACAUGCCAGCAAAAGGGUAAAAGGUUUUUUUUCCCCGUUGGGCUUUUGGCCUCUCUCUCCCUGUGCAAACUGGUAAAAGGCGUCUGGAUUUUCUAGUUGUCCUUACCCACUGCUUGUUUCGUUUUGAUACAUAUUUUCUAAUAACCUGUUUGUCUCUUCUCACUUUUAGGCCAUCAAACUCCAGUCUGCACCUGGAGCCUUGGAUGAUGGCCUUUUUUACUGGGAACCCUGAAAUAGGCCUCUGAGGGAAAUCUGAUUGCCAUUUUCCCAAAACAGCUUCCCUGACAAUAGGAAGCAAUUAAGAUUGGUCUUCAUCCUUAUCUUUAUCCUUAUUCUAAUGGCAGUUAGAGGUACUUCUUUAGAGGGGGGAAUGAGACAGCCAAAUGCCUAGGCAGAUAAAAAGGUGUACCUGGAAAAUUUCCAACCCGUCACACAAGUGUUUACAUCAGAUGCUUUUGUGUAGAUGAGGGAAACUUCCCAGGGCUUGUCUGGGUAUGCCCACAGUGGACUGGAGCCCAAAAUGCACACUGGAGGAAGUGGAUGGAGCCACGUGGAUGUCAUGCCUUAUGCAGGGGAGGAGCCUGCUCUCUUCAGCUCCUGUGGUAAUGUGGGAAUCGAUCUGUGAGGUGAGGACCUGUUAGCAGGAACCCCUCUUGCUUUGCUGAAAGUUUUAUUUUUCUUUUUGCCCUAUAAAACCCUGUUCUACUAACCCUUCAAUAUGUCUGCAUUCCUAAAUUUUCCUGGUCAUGUGACGAGAACCUAGGUUUUAGCUGAACUAAGGAGCAAAAUUCUGCAACAUAAAGUCAAAGAAAACUAUGCCUAUAUCCAUUAAAUCAAAUGUUAAAAAGCAAAUAUAAAGAAAAAGUCUUCACAGCCCUAGAGAAAAGUGAAACAUUGUACAUAAAGAAGUAAUAAUUUGAAUGGAUUGUCAGAAACCAUGACUAGAAGACAGAGGAGCAAUAUUUUCAAAUUUCAUAGAGAAAGGAAAAAAAG
ensembl:lncRNA PURPL p53 upregulated regulator of p53 levels